GACCCCAGGUCAGGCGGGGCCACCCGCUGA
rnacentral:rRNA from 1 species